rnacentral:misc_RNA from 1 species
GAAAUGCGAUAAGUAGUGUGAAUUGCAGAAUUCAGUGAAUCAUCGAAUCUUUGAACGCACUUUGCGCCCCUUGGUAUUCCAUGGGGCAUGCCUGUUCGAGCGUCAUUUGUACCCUCAAGCUCUGCUUGGUGUUGGGUGUUUGUCCCCGUCUCCGCGCGUGGACUCGCCCCAAAGUGAUUGGCAGCCGGCGUACUGGUCCCGGAGCGCAGCACAUGUCGCGCAAACGAGUGCCUUGGUACGGCGGCGUCCAUAAGCCCCUCUCUCACGCUCUUGACCUCGGAUCAGGUAGGGAUACCCGCUGAACUUAAGC